rnacentral:lncRNA from 1 species
GCCCGAGCAGGCUCCCGGAUAACGAUAAUAGCUGUGGCAAGUAAAGGAGGCCAGACUUUAAAGGAGGCUGUCCAGAGAAUGUCCUUUGCGUUAUUCACUAAUAACCUCUGCUGUAAACUUAACUUGUCUGGUAUUACCAAAAAUGACAAUGAAAGUAACUUUGUAAAACAAAGACUUACACUUGCUUAAAAGAGCUGUAAAAAGAAAUCCUGCAACAACUUCAGCAACUGAAUCAGAUUUUCAAUAUGAGGUUGUGCGUUUUUUGCGUGGUGCAUCAGACCGCAAUGGCAGAAAAAAAGUUAGACAAGACCAAAAAAACAAACAAGCCGAGAAAAUGAUGCCUACAUCAUGUUUUCCAAUGCCAUUAAAUAAUUUAGUUCAGAAGAUGAAUAACAUUGCUAAAUAAAAUAAGCAUCUUUAUUUACAUAUUUGUUAUCUUUAUUUUACAAUAUUUUAUAUAUUUUUAAACUCAAUGGAGUAAAGUUUUUGUGUAAUGAGUAUUAUUGAUCUGUGUUUUUCAUAUUCAUUCCCUUUUACAGUAACCUUAUGUAAAUGA